GAAUUCGUACCCCAACACCGAAAGCACAUCAAGCACAACACAAUAUUAAAGUGCAAGAAAAUAAAAGAACACAAGAAUGGUCACUGAGUUCGGCCUAAAAGGCCUAAUCUGGGGGGCUCAGGUCAGCCCAAUCCACUAGUGCAAAAACCACCUCCCAGAAAGAGUUCAAUACAACCAAACACUUCACCUUACCAGAUUGAUCAUCGAUCUACAAGAUCUCACAAAGAAUCUGGACUUUCUACACAACAUAUUAAUCUGACCGAAAAAUAUAUUCCUACAGUAUACAACCACACAACCGGAAUAACCUAUGGUUACUAGCUUACAAAAGCAACAAGAUUUUAUCAUAAAAAAUACACUUCUAUCACAGAAGGAAUUUCGAUUAGAAGAAGAAACCAAGAUGAAGAUUUCUUGAAGUUUUAGAGAGAGAGAAAAUGUGAUUGAAACAAAACUCCAAAAUGCAACCAGUGAAGUGACCCGUUUUCAGCCAAAAACGUGACUUGAAGAGUCACUUUUAAUUCAAAGUAAGAUCUCAACCAUUGGUUUAAUCCAAUGACCCUUAUAAUUUCCAAACAAACACAGAUCCGGGUCACGUCCAAUGCUCCAAUCAGUAGCUGCCAUUUGAAGUCUUAACAAAUUUCCGAAAAUACCCUCAAUUUAAAACACAACUUUAGAAACACGUUUUUCUCCUUUCAAUCUUCACCUUGUUUCUCAAGUUGUACACAUCCUCUCAGUUGCGGAAUUUUGCACUUAUAGUGGAAAGGCUGAACAACAUCAUUGCCUUAGGUACCUGCAAAGAAAAAUUACCCAGUAUCAAUGUUGAGAAGUGACAAACACAUUCUAAACUUACUCACAGGCAGAAUUUUUGUGCCCAUAUCAGAUGGGUUAAUGUCAGUAUGAAUUUUAUCUAACAUCAUUUCACCUAAAGAUAGUUUCUCUCUUAUGAAAUGAUAUUUCACCUCAAUAUGCUUGGACCUUUCAUGAUAGACAGGGUUCUUGCUUAACAAUAAUGCACUCUGACUAUCAAUAAGAAUAAUAGGUGAUGAAAAAAGAAAAUUCAGUUCACUUAAAAUUCCUUUCAGCCAUAUACAUUCUUUAACACAUUCAGUAAUUGCCACAUAUUCAGCUUCAGUACUGGAUAAAGUGACAGUUGGUUGAAGUUGAAACUUCCAUGUGAUACAAUUAUCACCAAGUGUAAAGAAAAAAGAUGUGGUAGAUUUUCUUUGAUCCUUGUUUCCAGCAAAAUCAGAAUCCACGUACCCUUUAAGGGUUAAUGGUUCUGAUCCCUUUUUGUACACUAAUCCUACACUUAGUGUCCCAGCUAUAUACCGUAAUAGCCAUUUUAAGCCAGCCUAAUGUGGUUUUCCCGAGUUUGCCAUAAACCUACUUAAAAAACUGAUUGAAUAUGCUAGAUCAGGUCGUGUUGUUAUCAUAGAAAACAUUACUAAUCCUAUUGCAUUGGAGUAAGGGAUAUUUUCCAUGUCUUUGGCCUCAGAUUCAGUUUUAGGACAUUGGGUUGAGGAGAGAUUCAUGUGAGCAGCAAGUGGAACAUUAACAGACUUAGCUUCUUUCAUGCCAAACUUAGAUACAACUUUAUGUAGGUAAAACUCUUGGGUUAUUAUUAACCUGUCUUCUUGUCUAUUCCUAGUUAUCACCAUUCCCAGUAUUUUCUUGGCAUUCCCUAAGUCUUUCAUGUCAAAUUCAAAUUUUAGGAGGUUCCUCAUUCUUUUUAUUUCAGCCUUGCUUGAACUGGCUAGCAGCAUAUCAUCUACAUACAAGAGUAGAUAUAUCUCGCUGCCAGGUUUGGAGUUAUAGUAAUAUAAGCAAUGAUCAUACUCACUUCUCCUAAAACCAAUUUUCACAACAUGUGUCAAACCGAAUGUACCACUGUCUUGGACUUUGUUUGAGUCCAUACAGUGAUUUCUGCAAUUUACAAACAUGAUCAGAUUUCUCCUUUUCCUCGAAACCUUGAGGUUGACACAUAUAGAUGUCCUCAUCCAAUUCCCCAUGCAAGAAUGUUGUUUUGACAUCUAAUUGUUCAAGUUCCCAAUUAAACUGAACAACUAGAGCAAGUAUUAGCCUUAUUGUCUUAUAUUUGAUUACAGGUGAACAAAUUUCAUUGUAAUCAAUUCCCUCCCUUUGGGUGAACCCUUUGGCCACUAAUCUUGCCUUAUACCUCAAAGGGUCAUUGGGGGACAUGCCUUCUUUUAGUUUGUAAAUCCACUUGCAUUGAACCACUCUCUGUUUUUUAGGUUUCUUCACAAGUUUCCAUGUUUUAUUAUCAUUCAGGGAUUUCAUUUCUUCCCUCAUGGCAUCUUUCCAAUUCUGAGAUUUAGAACAACUUAUAGCUUCAUCAUAAGUAUAAGGUUCAGCAUGUUCUAAGUUCUCACCAGUGAUAAGGGCAAAGUCUGUCAGAUUAUUAGUCUCAUAUCUUGGAUUAGGUUUAAUCUGUUUCCUUUCCCUAUCUCUCACUAAUUCAUAAUCUUGGGUACUAGUUUCAUUUUCAGGUGUCACAAUUUCAGUUUCAGUUUGGGCUGUUAUAACUUCACCUUCGCUUGUGUCGUCUGAUCUUACAUUUGGCUGUUCAUUUUUAGGUUCAGUUAUCUCAAUAGAAUUGUGACCCAAUCUUGCCAACUUUACCUCAUUCUGUGAAGUACUAUUUUCAAUUGCAUCCUGUUUAUCCCUUUUACUUUUUAAGCAUGGCAUCUCAGAUUCAUUAAACACUACAUUUCUACUGUUAAUGAUCUUAAUGCCUUUCUCACCUAGUACCCAUAACCUGUACCCUUUAACUCCUUCAGGGUACUCCAACAUGACACAUUUGGUGGCUCUAGGAUCUAAUUUGCCUCCAACUUGAUGUGCAUAUGUAGCGCAUCCAAAGACCCUAAUAUUAGACAGAUUAGGUGUUUUUCCAGUCCACAAUUCCUGAGGGGUCUUCAACUUUACAGAACUGCGUGGUGACCUAUUAAUUAGAUAGGCUGCAGUGCAUAAAGCUUCUGCCCAAAAACCUUUUGCUAUACCAGAACUUAUUAGCAUGCAUCUAACUUUAUUCAUUAGAGUUCUGUUCAUUCUUUCAGCUACCCCAUUCUAUUGGGGUGUGUGCUUAACAGUUCUAUGCCUAAUUAUUCCCUUUUGCCUGCAAAAGUUAUCAAAUUCUGCAUUACAGAAUUCCAACCCAUUAUCUGUCCUUAAGGUUUUUAAUUUUCUGCCCAAUUGAUUUUCAACCGUCGUUAACCAAAUUCUGAAUUUUUGAAAUGUUUCAGAUUUUGUCUUUAAGGGGUAUGUCCAGACCUUUCUAGAAUAAUCAUCAAUUAUAGAAAGAAAAUAUUUAUUCCCACCAAAGGUUGAGUGGCUUUCUGGACCCCACAAAUUUGAGUGGACAUAAUCUAAAGGUCUAUUUGUAGUGUGUGACCCCGUCUCAAAACUGACUCUAUGAGAUUUUCCAAGUACACACGUCUCACAAAAGUCAAGGGGCUCUAUAUUAUCUUUUCCAAACAAUUUUUGAUCAUUUAGAUAUUCUAGCCCCUUAUUUCCAAUAUGUCCCAUUCUACAAUGCCACAAUUCAGAUUUACUUUCAGUAAUGGUUAAGGAUUUUGGAUCAUGGGAAUUAACAGUCUUACCCAUUAGGUAGUACAAACCAUUCCUCUUUAGUCCCUUCAUAACUACAAGAGAUCAUUUGAGAAAUUUCAAAGUAUUAUUUUCAGAUUUAAAAGUGUGUCCCUCAUCUUCAAGAAUUCCUAGUGAAAUGAGAUUUCUUUUUAGAUUUGGGACAUGUCUUACAUUUUUAAUCUGCCUGACACUACCAUCAUACAUUUUGAUUGUAAUGUCACCGAUUCCAAGAACAUUUUGUGAAUUAUUAUCACCCAUAUAUACUUUCCUGGGUUCUAUCUCCUUGUAGUUAUGAAACCAAGUUUUAUUUGGGCACAUAUGAAUUGUACAUCCAGAGUCAAGUAUCCAGUCAGUGUCUGCUUCAUCGUUAGACACAGUCAUAACAAGAAGGCUGUCAAGUUCUGAACUUACAGCAGCAUUAUUCAACUCAUUGUUAUUAGGUUCUUUUAACUUCUUCUUUAAUUCGAAGCAAUCCCUUUUGAAGUGUCCAAGUUUUCCACAGUGAUAGCAUUUUUUAUUACUUUUAUCCCUUGACUUGGACCUACCUCUUGAUUUAGAUUUGAACCUCUUAUUCAACGAAUGGUUCUCUCUUUUAUCAGUUCUCCCUCUCACAAACAGGUUCUCCUCUCUAGGGUUAAUUCUUGUUUCCUUCUUAACCUCCAGCUCCCUAGAUCUUAGGGCAUUUGUCACAAUUGUUUGUGUUAAGGUAUCUCUCGAAUAUUUUAUUGCAUUUCGGAUAUCUUUAUAAGAUUCGGGUAGUGAAUUUAGAAGGAUCACAGCCAGAUCUUCAUCCUCAAAUUUCUUAUCGUUAUGUGAAAGACUCUUGACAAGAAUGCUAAAGUCACUGAGAUUAGAUUCUAAGUCUUUUCCAGGAUCCAUUUUGAAGCUAUACAAUUUUUCCAACAGGUAGAUCUUAUUAGGCAGUGUUUUAGUUAAGAACAAAGUAUCUAGGGCUUCCCACAGGGCUCGAGCAGUUUUAUGUUCUUCAACUUAUCUCACUAUGUUAUCAGACAAGUGUAGUAUAAUUGAACUAUAUGCUAUUUCAUUCAUAUCUUCAAUUUCAGUAGGCUUAGCUUUCAAUUCAUCAGGAAACUUUUCAGGAUCAUCAAGGGCUUUUGCAACCCUUUGUGGACCAAAAUGGCCCUCAUUUUCUGUUUCCAUAUAGAGUAAUUACCCUUUCCAUCGAAUUGACUUAAUUCGACCUUCGAACCCAUUGCGGGUUCUGUAAAAGGAUUGUUACUCAAGGACAUAAGUGAUUUAAUUCAAGAAAUCACUUAAGUUACAGAAAAAGUUUUUGAAAUUUUUUUUUCCAGAUAAUUGACAAGUAAGCUGACCUGAAAAUAAGCAGACAAUAAUCCAAUAUAUACUGAUAAAAAACACAAUAACUAAAAAAGGAUCAAUUUCAGAUUUCCAAAAAUCUGGUACCAAUCAAUAAGAUUCCAGAAAAAAUGAAAUUUCCUAAAAAAGUUUUCCUAUCACAAUUAAACACAAUAUUCAGUUUCUUUGAAUGAUACAAUCACAAUAACAUGCUUGAAAUCAGAUUCAACAUUUAUAUCAGGCAAAGGACAACAGUGUUUAAUUGUUAAAGAUCUCACCAAAAUACUGUGUAAUACAAUAUUUAAACAACGCAGUUUCGGUUUCUGCAGAUAGGGGUUCGAAACCCUAGCUUCCAAGAAUCACUAUAUUUCACUUUCAAAUCACUGCACAAGUGAAGUAAAGAUGUUAAUACGAUAAGAGAUUAAACUGUAUCCAAAUAUACCUUACCUCACGGCCUUGUAGGCUCUGAUACCAGAUUUGUUAGGGAAUUCGUACCCCAACACCGAAAGCACAUCAAGCACAACACAAUAUUAAAGUGCAAGAAAAUAAAAGAACACAAGAAUGGUCACCCAGUUCGGCCUAAAAGGCCUAAUCUGGGGGGUUCAGGUCAGCCCAAUCCACUAGUGCAAAAACUACCUCCCAGAAAGAGUUCAAUACAACCAAACACUUCACCUUACCAGAUUGAUCAUCGAUCUACAAGAUCUCACAAAGAAUCUGGACUUUCUACACAACAUAUUAAUCUGACCGAAAAAUAUAUUCCUACAGUAUACAACCACACAACCGGAAUAACCUAUGGUUACUGUAGCUUACAAAAUCAACAAGAUUUUAUCAUCAAAAAUACACUUCUAUCACAGAAGGAAUUUCGAUUAGAAGAAGAAACCAAGAUGAAGAUUUCUUGAAGUUUUAGAGAGAGAGAAAACGUGACUGAAACAAAACUCCAAAAUGCAGCCAGUGAAGUGACCCGUUUUCAGCCAAAAACGUGACUUGAAGAGUCACUUUUAAUUCAAAGUAAGAUCUCAACCAUUGGUUUAAUCCAAUGGCCCUCAUAGUUUCCAAACAAACACAGAUCUGGGUCACGUCCAAUGCUCCAAUCAGUAGCUGCCAUUUGAAGUCUUAACAAAUUUCCGAAAAUACCCUCAAUUUAAAACACAACUUUAGAAACACGUUUUUCUCCUUUCAUAUACGUAUUAUAUUUUCAUAUUCGCUUGUUGAGGCUACAUUCACCAUGGCUUAACAUAGAUGGAAAGCUUGCUUUACUAUCUAAGGUUCACCAGGUGCGACUAAGAAUGUACAGCCCCUUGAAAUCUCAGGCUGCUUGCUACUUUGAAGGCAAAAUGGCCAGGAUGCGGUCGACAUCUUUAUGUAUGUGACAGGAAUAAUUUUUCCAAGCCAACAAGACAAAACUGCUGCUAAACUCUUCAUUCCAUCCAGGCUACUCCUUCAAUCUUUUCUAAAUCAGACACUUCUUUUAAUAUAUUUCCCUUUCCACUUGAAAACUUCUUGGGGAAAUUUUACUUAAAAGAGUGCUGGAGUGGAUUUGAAGAAUUGCAUUUUUUUUACUCUUGCUCUUUCUGG
rnacentral:lncRNA from 1 species